rnacentral:rRNA from 1 species
CCUACGGGUGGCAGCAGUGAGGAAUAUUGGUCAAUGGUCGUAAGCCUGAACCAGCCAAGUAGCGUGCAGGAUGACGGCCCUACGGGUUGUAAACUGCUUUUAUGCGGGGAUAAAGUGAGUCACGUGUGCCGUUUUGUAGGUACUGUAUGAAUAAGGAUCGGCUAACUCCGUGCCAGCAGCCGCGGUAAUACGGAGGAUCCGGGCGUUAUCCGGAUUUAUUGGGUUUAAAGGGAGCGUAGACGGAUUGUUAAGCGUGUUGUGAAAUGUUGUGGCUCAACCGUGGAACUGCAGUUGAUACUGGCAGGCUUGAGUACAGUUGAGGUAGGCGGAAUUCGUGGUGUAGCGGUGAAAUGCUUAGAUAUCACGAAGAACUCCGAUUGCGAAGGCAGCUUACUAAACCGCCACUGACACUGAUGCUCGAAGGUGCGGGUAUCAAACAGGAUUAGAUACCCUUGUAGUC